AAACCAGCACCUCAAGUGGUCAGGAUGAUUAUUGGGCCUAAAGCAUCCGUAGCCGGCUCUGUAAGUUUUCGGUUAAAUCUGUACGCUCAACGUACAGGCUGCCGGGAAUACUGCAGAGCUAGGGAGUGGGAGAGGUAGACGGUACUCGGGAGGAAGUGGUAAAAUGCUUUGAUCUCUCGAUGACCACCUGUGGCGAAGGCGGUCUACCAGAACACGUUCGACGGUGAGGGAUGAAAGCUGGGGGAGCAAACCGGAUUAGAAACCCGGGUAGUCC
rnacentral:rRNA from 1 species